UGGCUCCAGUAAUAAGAACACUCACUGCUUCACAUGAGAACCCUUAAGACAGGGCAGUUCCAGGUAUGGCAUUAUCAGGGCUCUGGCUCUCUGGUGUUCUCUUGGCUCUGCCCUGCUUUGUAUGCUGCCCCAUUCCUCGGGCUAAUUCUUCUUGUGACCACAAGAUGGCGAUAGCAGUUACAGAUUUCACUAGCUCCUCUCCCCUGCAGAAAGCUCCAGAAACAAAAAGGGGCCAUCUCGCCUGGUGUGUCUUUAUGAGAGCAAAGAAACCUUUCCUAAGAGUCCCACAGCUGACUUUCCCUCAUAUCUUACUGGCUGGAAUUGUUACUUGACCAUGCCUAAAGCAAUCACAGCAAAGUGAUUGGCUUAGACCAGUUGGGACCCUAUAAAUGGGGUUGAGGCAUUCCUAAAGCAUUAGGGUACAUGGAAAAUAAUAGAUAACUUUACGAAAGCUGGGAUUAUUUUAGGAAGAAGAACUAUGAAGAGAAUAGAUGUUGGAUGGGCAGCCAUCAGUAUUCCAGGAUGUUUUAUCCUUUCAGAUUUUUCAUUAAGGCUAAAAUGACUCAGUUUAGGAGGAGAAUCCUCACCUCAUCUUCUUCCAUAGGCUUAGGUGUGGAGAGGAGAUAGAAGGAAGUUUUUUAAAAAAGUAAUUAGAGGUACAGAAUUGUAGGCUUCUUAUACUCUGAGUCUCUGUGUCAUUGUGUCAAGGAAACCAUGAAACACUUGACAAAUGUGUCAUAUCUUAUGGGAAGUUAAUUUUACUUGAAGAGGUUGAGGUAGGUGGUACCUUGUUUUUAUGAAAAACACAGGUCCAUUUCAAAAUAGAAAUAUAAAACAUAAAUUGUUUAGGGGAAAAAAGAGACUUUAAAGGAAUAUUUCAACCUUGCCUUCUAGACUUCUCUAUAAAUAUUUUCCUCUGCCAUAAGAGGUACUUUGCUGGGAAAGCUUACAUCAUUCCUGUGUAAUAGAAAGACUAUAAAUGUUAGGGUCAGAUAGGAGUUAUGAUUUCAGCUCCCUGACCUGCUGGCUCUGCAACCUUUACAAAUUUACUUAACUACACUGAACUUUUCUUCAUCUAUAAAAUACCCUUUUUUUCUAGUUGUGAUCCCUGUGGCCCUUGUGGACCCAUGCACAUCUGCUCAGGAAACGUGGAAUUGUUGUGAGGAUAUGAUGGGGUUCCAGGGUUUCCUCCUGGGAGCUGGCACUUUGAAGCCGGCGGGACUUAGCCUGCUUUUCUGUCUUUAAAAGGCUGUAUGUCAAGUCAUCACUAUCCAUCUUUUUCUAGCUGUUGCUUUUUCAUCUCCUUCUUGUUUGGGCCUAUACUUUAACUUGAAGUCUGCAAUGUUGGUCCCAGCCCUGCCUUUCUGUACAUCACAGCAACUUCUUUCUCUAAUUUUGAAUUUCUGAGAAUUCGUGCAGUAUGUCUUUUGCAGCCAGGAUAUCUAUGCCACAGGUUGCAGUCCAGCCUAUGAUUCAGUCAGGGGUGUAUUCCUGUGCUGCGAUCAGCUGAGUUAGGAGCAGAAUCUCAAGUAUAGACUGUGGCUUGAGAUGUACCAGAUAAGCUCUUAGUCACAAAAUGUCCAUGUAAAUACAAACAUUCAGCCAUCAUAUACUGUAUUUCAAUUAUUUUUCAAGCAUAGGUAACAUUAAAAUUAAUUGCUAAAUUAUUUUCUUUAAUAGUGAAGAAAUUGCCUUUUACAAUGGGAAUAAAAGAGAAAAGCAGACAGUCCACUCAGUCUUCCGAAAACUGGUGGAACACCUACAUAAUUUCAUUUUGUUUCGGUUUUCAAUGGGCUUCAUUGAUAGCAUUAUUGCCAAAUACCUUGCCACUGUUGUUGGUUACCUAGUUGUCAGUCGCCCUUUCUUAGAUUUGUCUCAUCCUCGACAUCUCAAGAGUACACAUUCGGAACUUCUAGAGGAUUACUACCAAAGUGGAAGAAUGCUUUUGCGAAUGUCUCAAGCUCUGGGUCGAAUAGUUUUGGCUGGGCGUGAAAUGACUAGAUUGGCCGGUUUUACUGCUCGGAUUACAGAAUUAAUGCAAGUACUGAAGGAUUUAAAUCAUGGCAAAUAUGAGCGCACAAUGGUCUCACAACAGGAAAAGGGUAUUGAAGGAGUACAAGUCAUUCCCUUGAUACCUGGUGCUGGAGAAAUCAUUAUUGCAGAUAACAUUAUAAAGUUUGAUCAUGUUCCUUUAGCAACGCCAAAUGGAGAUGUUUUGAUCCGAGACCUUAAUUUUGAAGUUCGAUCUGGGGCUAACGUUCUAAUUUGUGGUCCAAAUGGCUGCGGAAAGAGUUCACUUUUCCGUGUUCUUGGUGAAUUAUGGCCUCUUUUUGGAGGACGUCUAACUAAACCCGAAAGAGGAAAAUUAUUUUAUGUUCCUCAGAGACCUUACAUGACCCUUGGAACACUUCGAGAUCAAGUGAUAUAUCCAGACGGACGAGAAGAUCAGAAAAGGAAGGGAAUUUCUGACCUAGUACUGAAGGAAUACUUAGACAAUGUCCAGUUGGGUCAUAUCCUUGAACGUGAAGGAGGCUGGGACAGUGUUCAGGAUUGGAUGGACGUACUCAGUGGUGGAGAAAAGCAAAGAAUGGCGAUGGCAAGAUUAUUUUAUCAUAAACCCCAGUUUGCCAUUUUGGAUGAAUGCACAAGUGCAGUUAGUGUCGAUGUGGAAGGCUACAUUUAUAGUCAUUGUCGAAAGGUCGGCAUCACUCUCUUCACUGUGUCUCAUAGGAAAUCUCUUUGGAAACAUCAUGAGUACUACCUGCAUAUGGAUGGCAGAGGCAACUAUGAAUUCAAACAGAUAACAGAAGAUACAGUUGAGUUUGGCUCUUAGAGAAAUCUGGAGAACUAUACCUGCUUCAGUGAAAUAAUUACAGAAUAUACUUAGAAAGGCAAAGUACAUUGUAAAAUAAAGUUGAGCUUAGUUUUUUUAAAAAAAAAAAAAACAAAGCAACAAAUUAGCUAGAUAUAGAAUAAUGGAGAACAAGUUGUUAAAACAUUUAAUAUUAUAUAGGAUAUUGCUAAUUGUGUAUAUGUUGGUUUAAUUAAUAAUAUGUACUAAGAAUGUCCUUAUUCUUGUGGUUAAAAACCUGCCUAAAUUAAAUUGGGCUUCAAUCACUGUAACCUGAUUCAUCCUGGGAUGUAAACCAUUCGAAGUCAGCUAAUUGGACUUUUAUGGCUCUGUCUUUUCCUUCAAUGAAGAACCCUAUUUAAAACUGGGUCAUCAUUUGUCCUGUUCUAGCAAGAUAGUCUUCAGUUUCAUUUUCCUGUGCCCUAUGGUAGUUGGAAACAAAUCAUAAUGUAUUAUUUAAAUGUAUAACAUCAUUGCAUAACAGCGUUUAUUAUACAGUGGCAGAUUUCUUUAGCUGCCACAGUAAUACUCAUUCCUUGUGUGUGUCUUGGAGUGCAUUUGACUCCAGGAAAAGCCAUUUUGAUUUUCCUUAACUAAAUGAUAAAUGUACCCCUCUCAGUCUGCAGUAUUGAGUUGUUUAAAGUAUAUGUGCAGUCUUGCUUACAGGGAGGGGUUACGACGUAUCACACCUAAUCUUCCCAAUGUUUGGGAUAUUAAAACACAAAGUCCUUAACAUGCCAGGCUCAAGGUCUUAUGAGAGUUUUAGAUUUUUUAGAGAAUUAGACAAAUUUGUGUGUGUUAGAAGCCCAUUCAUUAGAAGUGUGGUGGUUAUUUGGUAUUAAACUCCAAAUGAGCCAUAGGAAGGCACUACAUGAAAUAAUGCACUGAGUAUGCAAUGCUAUCACUGUCUAUGACUGUGAUUUUAUGUUUAAAAAGUAUGUUCUAAAAUUAUUAUAUAUACAUGGGUGAAUUAUGUUUCCGAGGCACUGUUUUAUCUCUGUGAAUCUUGAAUAACUUUUUUAUAUUUGGGUUAUUAUGUCGAACAAUCCUAAGAGAAGAUUAUUUCAGUUCAUCAAACCAUCAUUAAUGACUUUAUGUAUUAUUUGCACAGGGAGAAUUGAAACUGAGUAUAAUCAAUAAGCUAGAUAUGAAAUCAGUUUCUCAAACUGAGCUUCAGAAAGGGGCAUUUUAUACUCUUGUUUCUGCAUAACUGGUUUUGUUUUUUUGCAGAAUUAACUAUAACAAUCACUGGCUACCGAAGUAAACUGAUGUACUGAAUUCCAUAAUACAUAACAUUCAAUUUUUACCACUUCUGUUUAGUGAACUUGUAUACUUAUUUUCUGUUCAGAUUAAAAAAAAAGAAAAACUCAGAUAUCCUAUACAACCUUUGCUUGUUCUUUUUAUUCUGGUAUCUAAAUACUAAGAAGUUCAUUUAUAAUUCAGCCUUGACUUGAAAACAUACAUAGUUUAGUCUUGACUUGAAAAACACAAAAAUAAAUUCAGAAAAUGCUUUUAGCA
rnacentral:sRNA from 1 species